rnacentral:rRNA from 1 species
CCCGCACAAGCGGCGGAGCAUGCGGAUUAAUUCGAUGCAACGCGAAGAACCUUACCAAGGCUUGACAUACACCGGUAACGCCCAGAGAUGGGUGCCCCUUUGUGGUCGGUGUACAGGUGGUGCAUGGUUGUCGUCAGCUCGUGUCGUGAGAUGUUGGGUUAAGUCCCGCAACGAGCGCAACCCUCGUCCUAUGUUGCCAGCGGGUCAUGCCGGGGACUCAUGGGAGACUGCCGGGGUCAACUCGGAGGAAGUGGGAUGACGUCAAAUCAUCAUGCCCCUUAUGUCUUGGGCUUCACGCAUGCUACAAUGGCCGGUACAAAGGGCUGCGAUACCGCGAGGUGGAGCGAAUCCCAGAAAGCCGGUCUCAGUUCGGAUUGGGGUCUGCAAUUCGCCUGCAUGAAGUCGGAAUCGCUAGUAAUCGCAGGUCAGCAUACUGCGGUGAAUACGUUCCCGGGCCUU